CCUGCUGCCACUCCUCCUGCUGCCACUCCACCUGCUGCCACUCCACCUGCUGCCACUCCACCUGCUGCCACUCAGAGCAGGCCCCUGACGGCUGCCGGCGUUAACGCUCUGCUGGCACGUGGGAAGCAUUUGUCUCCCUCACAGUUGGCAUGAAAAAUUGUUUCUCCAGCCAAACCCUCUCCAGUGCCACGUGUCCCCUCUCCGUCUACAUCCGCUGCCCGCAGACAGCUCUUUAACUGUGACGCUGUUGCUGCUGCUGGGGAUUUUUUUAAGGAGCAAGACGACCAGGAGACGGUGACUGUGGCCUCGCAAGCUGAGGAAAAACUUCCUCAAGCCUCAAGAGGCCCUGCUCCUCCUCCUCCUGCUCCUCCUCCUGCUCCUCCUCCUGCUCCUCCUCCUCCUGCUCCUCCAGCGCUGUGGACUCCUGGCCCCGUGUUCCAGCCCCCUGCAGAGCUUCCUGGACACUGGAAGGAGCAUCUUCCAUCUUUCCAGCAGGACUGGAUCCUGAAGGCUUUAUUCAGGGCUAACCCUAAAACAGGGAAGCCAGAGCUGGUGCCACAGCUCACCUCCUGGUGGUCUCCUCCCCAGCCUCCGACCACCUUCACCCAGCCUCCUGCCUCUCCUGAUCUCUUCUUCUGCCGCCCUUUGUUUCUCUGGAUGCCUCUGAAGAUGUUGUCCAUCAUCUGUGUCCAGCCAGCUUGCAAUAGUCACAGGCUGACAGCAGCUGGCCUGUACAGCACUGUGGUCAAGGUGCUGGACAUAGAUGGUGGUAUGAUAUGACCUCAGAGGAUCUAGAAUGCAAAGGGUGCAAGAAGAAGUAUCCGGCCUGGUCAGAGGACAUCCUGGGUCAGCUGGACAUCCUGGGUCAGAGGACAUCCUGGGACAGCUGGACAUC